ACGGAGGAUCCAAGCGUUAUCCGGAUUUAUUGGGUUUAAAGGGUGCGUAGGCGGAUUAUUAAGUCAGUGUUGAAAGACUAAAGCUCAACUUUAGAAGUGGCAUUGAUACUGGUAGUCUUGAGUACAGAUGAAGUGGGCGGAAUGUGUCAUGUAGCGGUGAAAUGCAUAGAUAUGACACAGAACACCGAUUGCGAAGGCAGCUCACUAAGUUGUAACUGACGCUGAGGCACGAAAGCGUGGGGAUCAAACAG
rnacentral:rRNA from 1 species